CUGCUCACUUCAACAGCACAUAUACUAAAAUUGAAACAAUACAGAGAAGAUUAGCAUGGCACCUAUGCAAGGAUAACAUGCAAAUUGGUGAAGUGUUCCAUAUUUUU